rnacentral:lncRNA from 1 species
GACCUUCGGCGGGGCCCAACUCUUCCAUAUCAGCUUCCAAGAGCGGCAAGUGAUAGAUCCGUGGAAGGUGGCCUGGUAGCAUGACCUAGCUGUGUAGCUGCCGUUGGCCGUCCAUUUCCAGGUUAGCUUGUCUGGCUCAUGGGAAAGGGUGGCGCGAGACACCAGCAUCCAGAGUUGGAGGUACUGCCCAAUCUCCUGGAGGCCAAGGAUGCCGCGGAUGUCCCGCGCCCAAGCAUUGCCGAGAACGCCCUCCGCCAUCGUCCGCGAAUUCCUGCGAUUUUUGGGGAUGCACAUGUACA